UCUAAUAGUACAAUUUAUUUUUUUUGGUUAGGAUUUAAUUUUUUAAAAAAAGUUAAUUAUUUAUUUUUAGGUGAAAUUAGAAUAAAUAAAUAAUUUAAAAAGUAAAAUUGAGGUCUAUAAAUUAAUUUAGAAACUAGGAUUAGAUACCCUAUUAUUAUAACUUAAAAAUUUACCUUAUGAUUAAUAGGUACGAGCUUUAAAGUAAAAAAAUUUGGCGGUAUUUUAAGCUUUUUAGAGGAACCUGUUCUAUAAUUGAUGAUCCACGAUUAAACUUACUUUUUCUUAAUUUGCAUAUCGUUGUUUAAAGUAUACUUUUAGGUUAUAUUUGUUUUAUAAAUUUUAUAUUAAUUCAGAUCAAGGUGUAGUUGAUGAAAAAGAAGAAAUGGGUUACUUUAAAGUUAUUUAUGGAUUUUAAUAUAUGGUUAUUAAAUGAAAUUGGAUUUAAUAGUAAAAUGAUAUAUAUUUAUUAUUUGAAUUUAGCUCUAAAAU
rnacentral:rRNA from 1 species